GACGAACGCUGGCGGCGUGCUUAACACAUGCAAGUCGAACGGAAAAGCCCUGCUUUUGUGGGGUGCUCGAGUGGCGAACGGGUGAGUAACACGUGAGUAACCUGCCCUUGACUUUGGGAUAACUUCAGGAAACUGGGGCUAAUACCGGAUAGGAGCUCCUGCUGCAUGGUGGGGGUUGGAAAGUUUCGGCGGUUGGGGAUGGACUCGCGGCUUAUCAGCUUGUUGGUGGGGUAGUGGCUUACCAAGGCUUUGACGGGUAGCCGGCCUGAGAGGGUGACCGGCCACAUUGGGACUGAGAUACGGCCCAGACUCCUACGGGAGGCAGCAGUGGGGAAUAUUGCACAAUGGGCGGAAGCCUGAUGCAGCAACGCCGCGUGCGGGAUGACGGCCUUCGGGUUGUAAACCGCUUUCGCCUGUGACGAAGCGUGAGUGACGGUAAUGGGUAAAGAAGCGCCGGCUAACUACGUG
rnacentral:rRNA from 1 species